UGAGGAAUAUUGGUCAAUGGGCGGAAGCCUGAACCAGCCAAGUCGCGUGAGGGAAUAAGGCCCUACGGGUCGUAAACCUCUUUUGCCGGGGAGCAAGGGCGGGGACGUGUCCCGGCCCGGAGAGUACCCGGAGAAAAAGCAUCGGCUAACUCCGUGCCAGCAGCCGCGGUAAUACGGAGGAUGCGAGCGUUAUCCGGAUUUAUUGGGUUUAAAGGGUGCGUAGGCGGGCUUUUAAGUCAGCGGUAAAAAUUCGGGGCUCAACCCCGUCCGGCCGUUGAAACUGGGGGCCUUGAGUGGGCGAGAAGAAGGCGGAAUGCGUGGUGUAGCGGUGAAAUGCAUAGAUAUCACGCAGAACCCCGAUUGCGAAGGCAGCCUUCCGGCGCCCUACUGACGCUGAGGCACGAAAGUGCGGGGAUCGAACAGG
rnacentral:rRNA from 1 species